rnacentral:rRNA from 1 species
GUGGGCAAUCUGCCCUUCACUCUGGGACAAGCCCUGGAAACGGGGUCUAAUACCGGAUACACUCUGUCCCGCAUGGGACGGGGUUAAAAGCUCCGGCGGUGAAGGAUGAGCCCGCGGCCUAUCAGCUUGUUGGUGGGGUGAUGGCCUACCAAGGCGACGACGGGUAGCCGGCCUGAGAGGGCGACCGGCCACACUGGGACUGAGACACGGCCCAGACUCCUACGGGAGGCAGCAGUGGGGAAUAUUGCACAAUGGGCGAAAGCCUGAUGCAGCGACGCCGCGUGAGGGAUGACGGCCUUCGGGUUGUAAACCUCUUUCAGCAGGGAAGAAGCGAGAGUGACGGUACCUGCAGAAGAAGCGCCGGCUAACUACGUGCCAGCAGCCGCGGUAAUACGUAGGGCGCAAGCGUUGUCCGGAAUUAUUGGGCGUAAAGAGCUCGUAGGCGGCUUGUUGCGUCGGUUGUGAAAGCCCGGGGCUUAACCCCGGGUCUGCAGUCGAUACGGGCAGGCUAGAGUGUGGUAGGGGAGAUCGGAAUUCCUGGUGUAGCGGUGAAAUGCGCAGAUAUCAGGAGGAACACCGGUGGCGAAGGCGGAUCUCUGGGCCAUUACUGACGCUGAGGAGCGAAAGCGUGGGGAGCGAACAGGAUUAGAUACCCUGGUAGUCCACGCCGUAAACGUUGGGAACUAGGUGUUGGCGACAUUCCACGUCGUCGGUGCCGCAGCUAACGCAUUAAGUUCCCCGCCUGGGGAGUACGGCCGCA